rnacentral:rRNA from 1 species
GAGCAAUCCUGGCGGCGAGUGGCGAACGGGUGAGUAAUACAUCGGAACGUGCCCAAUCGUGGGGGAUAACGCAGCGAAAGCUGUGCUAAUACCGCAUACGAUCUACGGAUGAAAGCAGGGGAUCGCAAGACCUUGCGCGAAUGGAGCGGCCGAUGGCAGAUUAGGUAGUUGGUGAGGUAAAGGCUCACCAAGCCUUCGAUCUGUAGCUGGUCUGAGAGGACGACCAGCCACACUGGGACUGAGACACGGCCCAGACUCCUACGGGAGGCAGCAGUGGGGAAUUUUGGACAAUGGGCGAAAGCCUGAUCCAGCCAUGCCGCGUGCAGGAUGAAGGCCUUCGGGUUGUAAACUGCUUUUGUACGGAACGAAACGGCCUUUUCUAAUAAAGAGGGCUAAUGACGGUACCGUAAGAAUAAGCACCGGCUAACUACGUGCCAGCAGCCGCGGUAAUACGUAGGGUGCAAGCGUUAAUCGGAAUUACUGGGCGUAAAGCGUGCGCAGGCGGUAAUGUAAGACAGUUGUGAAAUCCCCGGGCUCAACCUGGGAACUGCAUCUGUGACUGCAUUGCUGGAGUACGGCAGAGGGGGAUGGAAUUCCGCGUGUAGCAGUGAAAUGCGUAGAUAUGCGGAGGAACACCGAUG